rnacentral:rRNA from 1 species
CAUAUCAAUAAGCGGAGGAAAAGAAACCAACAGGGAUUGCCUCAGUAACGGCGAGUGAAGCGGCAAGAGCUCAAAUUUGAAAUCUGGCGCCCCGCCGGCGUCCGAGUUGUAAUUUGGAGAGGCAUCUUCAGGAGGGGGCCCGGCCUAUGUUCCUUGGAACAGGGCGUCGCAGAGGGUGAGAAUCCCGUUCUUGGCCGGACAGCCCCUCCGGUGUGCAGUGUCUUCUACGAGUCGAGUUGUUUGGGAAUGCAGCUCAAAAUGGGUGGUAAAUUUCAUCUAAAGCUAAAUAUGGGCGAGAGACCGAUAGCGCACAAGUAGAGUGAUCGAAAGAUGAAAAGCACUUUGAAAAUAGAGUCAAACAGCACGUGAAAUUGUUGAAAGGGAAGCGCUUGAGACCAGACUCGGCCAUGGACUAACAGCUGUCCCUUCUGGGCGGUGCACUUGUCCUUGGCCGGGCCAGCAUCGGUUGGGACGGCGGGACAAAGGCUGGGGGAAUGUGACUCCCUUGAGGAGUGUUAUAGCCCCCGGCGCCAUGCCGCCCGCCCCGACCGAGGACCGCGCU